AGCAGCUUGGCGCAGUGGAAGCGUGCAGGGCCCAUAACCCUGAUGUCCAGGAUCGAAAUCUGGAGUUGUAA